GGCUCCGAGCCGUCAGCACAGAGCCCGACGCGGGGCUCGAACCCGUGAACCGCGAGAUCGUGACCUGAGCCAAAGUCGGACGCUUAAACGACUGAGCCACCCAGGCGCCCCGGGAAUGGCAGUUUCUUAAAGCGUUCGAUGCACGCCUACCCGGUGACCCGGCCAUUCUAGAAACGCGCCCAGGUGCCCACCAAAAAUCACGUUCUAGAAUGUUCAUGGUAAGACUCUUUGAGACAGCCAAGAGCUUGGGAGUCGUCCGAAGAGCCAUCAACGGGUGAACAGGACAAAUGUGGUCUCUUCCCGCGGGGCCGUGCGUUAGAGGAGACUCGGUCCGCGUCUGCCGCGCACAGCGCCGUGAAUCACGGACGCGACGUGGAAUGAGACGGGGAAAUGUGCACAUACCGUGUGACUGCUGUCCCUGCAAGUUGCUCGGCUCCCCUGUUUUUCCCUCUGGGGCUCCGGGGAAGAGGUUCUUUGUCUCCGAGCGCGGUCUGGCCUCGAUUCCACCAGAAGCUGGCAACCCUGAGAGACAGAAAAGCAGCUCAUGUUCCUCCCGGGGCUCGGAUGUCCCAGCGCUGGACAAGGACAAUUGUUUGGUUGCCUGGAGCGAGCUCGCUUGCCCUGACGGUGGCCUCGAAGCCCCGGUCACGUCCCGGCUCGAAGCGUGGCCAGGAGUGGCCAGCCCCAGAGUCAAGGACAAAGACGUUUUUAGAAGAGUUGCUGAAAAACACUUUGGCAGCUUCUCAGGGUCUGCUCAGGCCUGUAACUUACCUCAGGGUCUAACUAGAAGGUAUUUGCAGCCCAUAAAAUUGACAUGAGGCAUCUUA